UUUCCGUAGGUGAACCUGCGGAAGGAUCAUUAUUGUAUAACCGAGGUGCGAGGGCUGUCGCUGACCCGAAAGGUCGUGCACGCCCGAGUGCCCUCACACGCAUCCAUCUCACCCCUAUGUGCACCACCGCGUGGGUCCCCCUUUGGUUCGUUCGGUGGGGGGGUUACGUUGUCACACAAACUUUGUAUGCAGUGUAGAAUGUAUUUUUUGUUUUUGCGAUCACGCAAUCAAUACAACUUUCAACAACGGAUCUCUUGGCUCUC
rnacentral:misc_RNA from 1 species